ensembl:lncRNA
UUGAGAUUGGUUGAUUAAUUGACUAGUUGCGGAUAAGGAAAUUAAAUACAAGGUACACUGAUAAUUUCUAAAAAAAUUUAAUGUCAGAAAUAUACUGCAUUUUUAUAAUUUACUCUAAAAUAUGCAUGUUUUCAAGCUGAGUUUAAUAAAUGGAUAUUCAUUUAAUGCUCAUUGCUAUUUGGCAGCUUAACUGUAGUUUAAAAGCCUUGAAAAAUCCUCAAAAACCUAAAAUGGGAAAGCUAAACUAAAGAACACAGGAAACAUGGAAAAUGUUGCAAAAACCUUACAACCUUGAACGAGGAACAUAAGACAUGAAAACAUCAGGGAGGGAACACAGAUGAUAACACAGGAGAGAAUACAGACGAUCCGACAAAGAACACACUAAAUAUACACACACAAAAGGAAACGAGGAAUUGGCAGACAGGCACGAAACACAGCUGACACUAAUCAGAUGAGAAGAGACCAGGAGGAGAAUACACCGAUGCAGGGCAGGGACUAUCAAAGUAAAACAGGAAUAAACACGAAUAUCGAACCAGGGACAAUACACUGAAGACAAGGGAGGUACAGAGAACACCUAAACACUGGAAAUAAUUAACAAAUAACUAGGAAACUAACUGACACAAUGAAUAUUAAUAAACACAAACAACCAAGGAGACUGCGGACCAUGACAAUUGGUUUAUUUAAAACAAAAGUUUAAAAAAAUACAAAAUGUUGUUUUCUCUAGUAGAAGAAAUUAAACACUAUCAGAAUAUUCUUUAUAAAUAGAUAGCAUUGUUGUGGAUUAUAAGGAAUAAGCAUUAACAUAUCUACUGUUAAGCUGUAAAAACAAGUAGACAUCUAACAUGAAUAUUUUAUAUGAUUAUUUUCAAAGAUAUUAAAGUAUAUAGUCAGUCUCACCUUACAGAUUUUUGUGUCCUAAUCGAUCCGCUGCAUCGUCCAUUGGCAAGGUGGUCGGAGUGUGUUCGAAGAAUGUGAUACCAAAAUUAGCUGUAAACACGAUAUUCUUUGACACAUCCAUCUAUGCCACAAUCUUCACGGAAAUCUGGACUAUGGCUAUGUGCAGAAUUAAUAUGACUCAGUAGGGAUUUGAGGGUCAGACCCACAAAAACGAUGUAGAUAACACAGCGCCAAAUCAUUUUGUUUUACUGGUCUGUGAACUACUUUUCCCAUAAAGUCAAGAUAACCAGGAUUAUUCCAUUAUGGGGUAGAAAUGGCUAUCCUAAUUCAGUGCCUUAUAACAGCUGUAGUAUAAAAGAGCGAACUAAACCAUUUCCGUACACAACCCCAUACUCCUGAGUUGGUACAGCCCACCUUCCCGCCUCUAGCUCCGUGCCUAAGCGGUUGGAUUGCAGGAUUUUGGGGUCUGGGUGUAGAUGCGAUACAGUUGGUACAGUGUGAAGAAAUUAAGGCACGCUAUGGAAAAACUGGACGAAAUAACAAUUGCCAAUCUGAAAGAAGCAAAUGUUGGAGAAGACCUGCUCUCAUCACUUUCACGAGAUGACAUCAAAGAUCUGUUUCCUGGUCCUGAACAUUGCCUCAGGCGUCGGGCUCUAUGGCUUGCAGUGCACAAAUGUGAAGAAUGGAACAUGCAGCAGCUGUGUUCAGAGCCCUUCCCAUGCUUUUCCCUUCCAGCACAGUACCACCUAAGAAGCUGGGCAUCUGUAGUGAGGCUUUUUUCCAUGUCCUAAAGACUUCAGAAGACCCUGAAGGCUACCUGCGUCAGCGACCCCUGGCUUGUCCAGUUCUGCUUGUCUCUGAAGGCAACUGCAUGAUAGCUGUUGGAACCACACCGGUGAGCACUUUUGACCGGAAGGAUCUUAAUGAGGGACUGCUCUAUCUGAUGGCAUAUUACUAUGCCCUCCACCUCACAUAUCCAUAGUGCAUUUCCACGCUGCUGUCUGUCUUGCAAACUGAAAUACUCAAAGACUCCAUCCAUGACCGAGAUUCAACCCCCUCUUACAAGAAGGCGCUUGGUGAGUGGAAGUCAUUCAUUGAGUGAGUCUCCCAGAUGACAGACUCCAUCUGCCUUGUUUAUCAGACUCAGUGUUAGUCAGUGAGGUUGUUUUUUUUUCUAUAGAAAAGUUGUUCAAAUGUAAAACACAUGUUUGUUUGUGUGGUCGUUAAACUUGUUCUUCUAAAAUGUUAUGUAAUAUAGGAUUUGAAAUAGUGAUUGUUUUAAGCUUCAGCAAAAUUUAUUUUUGAUACCAGCCAUGAGUGUGUUAUACUGUUAUUAUUCAUUUUAAGAGUAUCUGGAAUAUGCACUUCUUAUAUUGGCCAUGUUACACAGUACCCUGCUGAAAUGUAUAAUUUUAGGCAUGAUUCUCCUGGAACAGACCUCAGUGAGUUACUGACCCAUUGCUGUGUCAAUAAAAGCGCAAAAUCUAAGAGUGCUUUUGCUGUCUUAAUUUAAGAUGAAUUCCCUUAUUUUUAGUAGCUUUUUGAAGAGAUGGUGUCUUAUUCUCAGGAAUUUUUGCUGAUUAUUGUUCUCAGAGUCGAAACAUAAUUCUUAUAGUUAGCUC